UAGAAGAAAAUUAGACAAGAGUCGUCUGCUAUUUUUAGUUGAAAAUUUCGAAAAAGUCAGAGACAUGGUUAGACAAAAAGUCCAAGGCUUUUAUUGAUAUAGAUUUAUUUGUUUUUGAUAAUCGCCAUACCCCGUGCUGUUUACCGGAUUUGAGGCCUGAGCCAGCCAUCAUAACCACACAAUAUGCAAGUUUUUUCUUGUGCAGGUGUUUACCUGUCCUCAGCCACAAUCUCAGGACCAUCGCUUGGAUACACAGCAUCCCAUUGCAUUGGAAAACUACCGAUGUCGGUCGAGUGAUCUCUUCUUGCCCUUUCUUUAAAUGUCGUCGUGUACGCCCAUGUGAAUGUGGGUAGAUGCCUGGCUGUAUUUCCCAGGUAUAAAGGUAGGACAAAAUUGAUCACUAUUCCUUUUUGCGCCUUUUUGACAAUUUUGGGUGGCAUUGAUUACAAAUCGUUACGUAGUCAGUCAUGGAGGAUGUUUAUUCCUGAGCUAGGUGGUUGACUGCAACUGUUUUCUGUUUUCUCUCUCCGUUUUUGUUUUUUCUCAGUUAGGGUUCACUAAAAAUAUCAUUUGUCAAACGACUUCAGAUUAGGCCUGUUUUAUUUUGAACCUCACAACUUUUUCUGUGAGUAAACCAUCACAUUUGAAUAUAUUUUGAACUUUUAACACGUCAAGCAAAGUGCAACAAGACAAUUUUUUUUAGGCCAAGAGGGACCUGCCGCCACAUCGGCACCUCCUCGUUUUAAAAUGUUUCGAAAAUCGAUACCCGAAUCAGGGUUGCAUAUUUUGGUUUAGUCUACACAGCCAACGUAAGCAAACAUUUAUAGCUGCAAUGCAAUGCCUCCGAUUUCGUCUUGCAACGUGUCACUUUAUUAUUAAAUGUCUGAGCCGGGCCGCGUAACCCGAAAUCUGACAAGUUCAAAUGAGCAUAGAUUGAGCGUUUGGACUUUGGAAUGAAAUUUUGUAUUUGUAAAAAAAAAAACGCUGUCACGACACAUUUAGACAGUCAUCACGUGAGUUCCAUUUCUAUUCUAUAGACGACGAGCCAUAAAAACUGCGACGGGGUGCUCGGCCAGCAGGUCCGUGAGGUGGGCUAAAGGCUUCUCACCUUUGAAUUCGUAAGUUGCGUAAUCAAUAGUUCGGAUCGUCUCCAGGCCGUUUUUGGCAGCGACUUUGGCCGCGUGUUGACUAACCGCACACACUUUGACAGCUCCGGCGCCAUUGGCCUUAGCCAAGUCCAGCGACAGACUGACUAACGUGGUUGCCAGGCCAAGCUGACCGUACGAUUUGUCGACCGCCAUCAUGGCCAGAGCCAGGAUUUUCUUCGUGCCGAAGGUUGUGAACAGAUCAAUUCCCUCCUCCAGGUCGCCUAGCAACGACAUAAUCAGCCGUGGCUUUUCGUUUGCUGGUGGGGUGCUGAGAGCUUCGUGAUGAAGGGCCCCUGGUUCUUCUAAUUCGUUGAGUCUCACAGCGGCCAGUCGGCCAUCCGAAUCGCGUACCGUUAACGAGACUGGUGGAUCUUUGACGCAGCCCGAUAAAUAGUUGUGCAAACCGCCGUCGUCGAUCGGUCCGUUGCUGCGGUUUACCAAAUAGCAGUUGGGCGACGUCGAGAAAAAGUGCUGCCUUAAGAAUUGCACCAUUUCGUCCAAAUCGGCCGGACGGGCGAAAUCAAUCGUAAACACCUGACCGU
rnacentral:lncRNA from 1 species